CAUAAAAUUAUUUUCGUUGCUACUUCAUAACUGUAAUGUUGCUACUGUUAUGAAUUGUAAUGAAAAUAUCUGAUAUGCAGGAUGGUCUUAGGCGACCCCUGUGAAAGGGUCGUUCGACCACGGAAGGGGUCACAACCCACAGGUUGAGAACCGCUGGCAUACAUGUUUUAAAGCCACCACAGUAACCAUUAUUUUUAGAUUAACUUACAUUAUUGCCUUUGAAAUUGGCCUUUUAAUUAACAGUGUUCUAAACGUUUUUAAAAAGGGCUAGAUUUUACUGUUAUAUUGUGAUUUGAAAGAUUCUUGUGUCUUUAUUAUGAUGGUUUGUUUUAUUCUGUAACUCCCCACGGUUUUCUUGACAGUUGAUUUAACGAUUUGGCUAUCAUCCAAUGCUGUGUAAUUUUAGUUUACAUUUCCUGUCAUUUUACCAUCAAGAAAGGUAUCUUCCUUUGGUGUAAUACUUUAUAUAAUGGUUGGUUACAUGCUAAUAUUUAAUAUUUUAUGUGGUUUUCUCAGAUAAAACCAACCUGUAAUCACAUAAGUAACUCAGAACUGCUUGGUUAGUUUUUUAAGUGAGCCAUUCUAAGAAUUUCCAAAACCUUUGCCUAACUUUCACUGUGAAAAUAUUACCUAAUUUUUGUCUUAAAGGACAGUUUUCCUUUUUCUUUAUAACUAAUUAAGGAUCUUGUAAUUCAUGUGGUUUCUAUUAUGGUCACUAAGCAUUUAUUAGAACUAUGACAUUUCACUUGAAAGAUUGUUUUCUAAGGGAAAUGUACAUUCAUUAUAUGUUUUCCCAUAUUUUCUUUUUCUUCCUUUUUACAUACUACAACUCUUCUGAUUGCUUUUCCUUCCCUGACACUACCUGAAGUAUUGUAGUUAAUCACAUUUUGUAAAAGGUGAAGGAUUUCUACAUUCUGAAGAAUAAGGGAAACUGCAUUUUAGAUGAAAAUUUGUUAGAUGGCUUUCUUAUUUAUAGGGUAACAUAACUCAAUGAAAUAAAAAAUAGUAAUGUGUUUUAUGGACAUUUAAAAUAAUAUAUGAAACGUAUUCUAAGUAUAAGCCAUUCAGAGACAUUCAAACAUUACAUUUCAACUUUGUUUCCUAUUACAGACAUAUUUAAGAAUAGAAAUAAUGUCCUGGUUAAGCAACCAAAGUAUUCCUUUAAUGUGUCAACACUUCACAUGAUAUCAAGUUAUUUUUAUCAGAUUUUUUUCUGUUUAUAAGUUUUUAGAAACUGAAAAAUUAGGAAACCAGCUGGAGGUGGAAGGCAUGGUCACUUGCAGACAAGUAAAUGUGGGCUGUACCAGAACAGAAACAGGGAGCUAAAGGGUAAUCUAAACCUCCCAGAAGCACCUUAGGAGGCAAGUGGACAGGAAAGAUCUUCAGAGCGAGUGGCGUAACUUCUGCAAAAACUUAGCAAUAAAUCAUCUAAUCAGUGUCUUCUCUCUGUUUUUGACUCCCAUUUGUUCAUCUUAUUAUCUGGAUGUAUUCUUUGUCAUUUUAUUUUUAGGCUUGAGUAUUGUAAAAUGAAGUGGGGCCAUUGUGCCUUUCUGGCUCCUUUUGUCUACUAGUCAUUUCUGUAACCAUUAACACUCAGCCUGACUUACCCAGUGGCCUUUACCAUCCCUCACCUGUGCUCGUGCUCUGCCUCAUUCAGCCCUUUUCUAGCAUUUACUACAUGUGUUACAUAACACUGCACAAAGCAAAACUCACUGUAUUUUCUCCCUGAUAGAUUAAGCUUUCUAAGAGUGUGGAAUGGGCCCUAGCCGGUUUGGCUCAAUGGAUAGAGCGUCGGCCUGCGAACUGAAAGGUCCCAGGUUUGAUUCCGGUCAAGGCCACAUACUCGGGUUGUGGGCUUGAUUCCCAGUAUGGGGCUCGCAGGAGGCAGCCAAUCAAUGAUUCUCUCUCUUCAUUGAUGUUUCUAUCUCUUCCACUCCCUCUCUGAAAUCAAUAAAAAUAUAUUUUAAAAAAAA